rnacentral:rRNA from 1 species
GACGAACGCUGGCGGCGUGCUUAACACAUGCAAGUCGAACGGAAAGGCCCUGCUUUUGUGGGGUGCUCGAGUGGCGAACGGGUGAGUAACACGUGAGUAACCUGCCCUUGACUUUGGGAUAACUUCAGGAAACUGGGGCUAAUACCGGAUAGGAGCUCCUGCUGCAUGGUGGGGGUUGGAAAGUUUCGGCGGUUGGGGAUGGACUCGCGGCUUAUCAGCUUGUUGGUGGGGUAGUGGCUUACCAAGGCUUUGACGGGUAGCCGGCCUGAGAGGGUGACCGGACACGUGGGGCUGAGGCAGCGGCCCGGCCCCCACGGGGAGGGGAGGGGGGGGUGGUUGAAAAAGGGGGAGGGGGCUAAGCCUGACACCGCGGGGGGGGGGGAGGGGGCUGGGGGUUAGGAACCCGUUGCCCCUUGAGACGAGGGGUGAGUGAGGGUACGGGGAAAAUAAGCACGGGCUAACUCCGUG